rnacentral:antisense_RNA from 1 species
AUCGUUACCCGAGCCCAGCGCCGGGCCAAUGUCCUAUCUCAGGGUUUCCCACGUCGCUCGCUCCUUGACGGCUGACCGACACUGGGUCUGAUGUGUAAGCGCUUUCCAGGCCCUUCCCUGGGGCUUGGAGGGGAAUGGCGCAAAGGACUUUUCUUACAAGCAGAGAGGUUGGACUCCUGAAAGCCUGGACAGUGUCAUCAUCUUCACCUGAAGAGUGGAAAAAUUCAAGCAAAGAGUUUCUCAGGAAAUGACCAAGUAAAACAUCUGGAGUAAGUCAGCAGGAUUCAAAGUGACUCCCCCCAACCACCUGGUGGUGUUUCUCUCUGAAAGCAGCGCUUGGUACCAGUGUGAACUCUCUUCCUUCAGAAGUCUCAUCAGGUGGACGUAAUACGAGGGUCUGGUCCCCCAUACCUUGAGGACUCCGCUGCCCUCUGACAAUUACAGACAAUCCAAUUGUCCUCAUCCUUGAGGACUCUGCUGCCAUCUGACAAUUAGAGACAGUCCAAAACAUGCCACACUUUGAUCCUAAACACAUUCCUGGCUUUGGUCACUUUUGAAAAG